ACCCGUAAGGCGCAAGGAAGC
rnacentral:snRNA from 1 species